rnacentral:rRNA from 1 species
GGUCUCCGUUGGUGAACCAGCGGAGGGAUCAUUGCUGGAACGCGCUUCGGCGCACCCAGAAACCCUUUGUGAACUUAUACCUAUUGUUGCCUCGGCGCAGGCCGGCCUCUUCACUGAGGCCCCCUGGAAACAGGGAGCAGCCCGCCGGCGGCCAACCAAACUCUUGUUUCUACAGUGAAUCUCUGAGUAAAAAACAUAAAUGAAUCAAAACUUUCAACAACGGAUCUCUUGGUUCUGGCAUCGAUGAAGAACGCAGCGAAAUGCGAUAAGUAAUGUGAAUUGCAGAAUUCAGUGAAUCAUCGAAUCUUUGAACGCACAUUGCGCCCUCUGGUAUUCCGGAGGGCAUGCCUGUUCGAGCGUCAUUUCAACCCUCAAGCCUGGCUUGGUGAUGGGGCACUGCCUGUAAUAGGGCAGGCCCUGAAAUCUAGUGGCGAGCUCGCCAGGACCCCGAGCGUAGUAGUUAUAUCUCGCUCUGGAAGGCCCUGGCGGUGCCCUGCCGUUAAACCCCCAACUUCUGAAAAUUUGACCUCGGAUCAGGUAGGAAUACCCGCUGAACUUAAGCAU